GGAGAGGUGGCUGAGCGGUCGAAAGCGGCGGUCUUGAAAACCGUUGAGGGUUCAUCCCCUCCGUGGGUUCGAAUCCCACCCUCUCCG
rnacentral:tRNA from 1 species